rnacentral:rRNA from 1 species
AGUGAACGCUGGCGGUAGGCCUAACACAUGCAAGUCGAACGGCAGCACAGGAGAGCUUGCUCUUUGGGUGGCGAGUGGCGGACGGGUGAGGAAUACAUCGGAAUCUACUCUGUCGUGAGGGAUAACGUAGGGAAACUUACGCUAAUACCGCAUACGAACUACGGGUGAAAGCAGGGGACCUGCGGGCCUUGCGCGAAGUAAUGAGCCGAUGUCGGAUUAGCUAGUUGGCGGGGUAAAGGCCCACCAAGGCGACGAUCCGUAGCUGGUCUGAGAGGAUGAUCAGCCACACUGGAACUGAGACACGGUCCAGACUCCUACGGGAGGCAGCAGUGGGGAAUAUUGGACAAUGGGCGCAAGCCUGAUCCAGCCAUACCGCGUGGGUGAAGAAGGCCUUCGGGUUGUAAAGCCCUUUUGUUGGGAAAGAAAUCCAGCUGGCUAAUACCCGGUUGGGAUGACGGUACCCAAAGAAUAAGCACCGGCUAACUUCGUGCCAGCAGCCGCAGUAA